UACAGAGGUAUCAAGCGUUGUUCGGAUUCAUUGGGCGUAAAGGGUGUGUAGGUGGCGCGCUAAGUCGGGUGUGAAAUUUCGGAGCUUAACUCCGAAACUGCAUUCGAUACUGGCGUGCUUGAGGACUGGAGAGGAGACUGGAAUUCAUGGUGUAGCAGUGAAAUGCGUAGAGAUCAUGAGGAAGACCAGUGGCGAAGGCGGGUCUCUGGACAGUUCCUGACACUGAGACACGAAGGCCAGGGGAGCAAACGGG
rnacentral:rRNA from 1 species